AGAGUUUGAUCCUGGCUCAGGAUGAACGCUGGCGGCGUGCUCAACACAUGCAAGUCGAACGAUCCUUCGGGAUAGUGGCGGACGGGUGAGUAACGCGUGGGAAUCUGCCCUCAGGAGGGGGAUAACGGCUGGAAACGGCCGCUAAUACCCCAUAUGCCGAGAGGUGAAAUGAAUUUCGCCUGAGGAUGAGCCCGCGUCUGAUUAGCUAGUUGGUGGGGUAAAGGCCUACCAAGGCGACGAUCAGUAGCUGGUCUGAGAGGAUGAUCAGCCACACUGGGACUGAGACACGGCCCAGACCCCUACGGGAGGCAGCAGUGGGGAAUUUUCCGCAAUGGGCGAAAGCCUGACGGAGCAACGCCGCGUGAGGGAUGAAGGCCUCUGGGCUGUAAACCUCUUUUCUCAAGGAAGAAGAACUGACGGUACUUGAGGAAUAAGCCACGGCUAAUUCCGUGCCAGCAGCCGCGGUAAUACGGGAGUGGCAAGCGUUAUCCGGAAUUAUUGGGCGUAAAGCGUCCGCGGCGGCCUUGUAAGUCUAUUGUUAAAGCGUGGAGCUCAACUCCAUUUAAGCAAUGGAAACUACAAGGCUGGAGUGUGGUAGGGGCAGAGGGAAUUCCCGGUGUAGCGGUGAAAUGCGUAGAUAUCGGGAAGAACACCAGUGGCGAAGGCGCUCUGCUGGGCCAUAACUGACGCUCAUGGACGAAAGCCAGGGGAGCGAAAGGGAUUAGAUACCCCUGUAGUCCUGGCCGUAAACGAUGAACACUAGGUGUCGGGGGAAUCGACCCCCUCGGUGUCGUAGCCAACGCGUUAAGUGUUCCGCCUGGGGAGUACGCACGCAAGUGUGAAACUCAAAGGAAUUGACGGGGACCCGCACAAGCGGUGGAGUAUGUGGUUUAAUUCGAUGCAACGCGAAGAACCUUACCAGGGUUUGACAUCCUGCGAAUCCCUUGGAAACGAGGGAGUGCCUUCGGGAGCGCAGUGACAGGUGGUGCAUGGCUGUCGUCAGCUCGUGUCGUGAGAUGUUGGGUUAAGUCCCGCAACGAGCGCAACCCACGUCUUUAGUUGCCAGCAUUCAGUUGGGCACUCUAGAGAGACCGCCGGUGAUAAACCGGGGGAAGGUGUGGAUGACGUCAAGUCAUCAUGCCCCUUACAUCCUGGGCUACACACGUACUACAAUGCUACGGACAAAGGGCAGCAAGCUCGCGAGAGUUAGCAAAUCCCAUAAACCGUGGCUCAGUUCAGAUCGUAGGCUGCAACUCGCCUACGUGAAGGAGGAAUCGCUAGUAAUCGCAGGUCAGCAUACUGCGGUGAAUACGUUCCCGGGCCUUGUACACACCGCCCGUCACACCAUGGAAGUUGGCCAUGCCCGAAGUCGCUACUCCAACCCUUGUGGAGGAGGACGCCGAAGGUGGGGCUGAUGACUGGGGUGAAGUCGGAACAAGGUA
rnacentral:rRNA from 1 species